GAUGAACGCUGGCGGCGUGCUUAACACAUGCAAGUCGAACGAUGAAGCCCAGCUUGCUGGGUGGAUUAGUGGCGAACGGGUGAGUAACACGUGAGUAACCUGCCCUUGACCCUGGGAUAAGCCUGGGAAACUGGGUCUAAUACUGGAUAUGACUUCUCAUCGCAUGGUGGGGGGUGGAAAGAUUUAUUGGUCUUGGAUGGACUCGCGGCCUAUCAGCUUGUUGGUGAGGUAAUGGCUCACCAAGGCGACGACGGGUAGCCGGCCUGAGAGGGUGACCGGCCACACUGGGACUGCGACACGGCCCAGACUCCUACGUGAGGCAGCAGUGGGGAAUAUUGCACAAUGGGCGCAAGCCUGAUGCAGCGACGCCGCGUGAGGGAUGACGGCCUUCGGGUUGUAAACCUCUUUCAGUAGGGAAGAAGCGAGAGUGACGGUACCUGCAGAAGAAGCGCCGGCUAACUACGUG
rnacentral:rRNA from 1 species